CAGCAGCCGCGGUAAUACGAAGGGUGCAAGCGUUACUCGGAAUUACUGGGCGUAAAGCGUGUGUAGGUGGUUGUUUAAGUCUGUCGUGAAAGCCCUGGGCUCAACCUGGGAAUUGCGAUGGAUACUGGGCGACUAGAGUGCGGUAGAGGAUAGUGGAAUUUCCGAUGUAGCAGUGAAAUGCGUAGAGAUCGGAAGGAACAUCUGUGGCGAAGGCGACUAUCUGGGCCAACACUGACACUGAGGCACGAAAGCGUGGGGAGCAAACAGGAUUAGAUACCCCUGUAGUCCCUGUCUCUUAUAC
rnacentral:rRNA from 1 species